AUUAGAGGCACUGCCUGCCCAGUGACACACGUUUAACGGCCGCGGUACCCUGACCGUGCAAAGGUAGCAUAAUCACUUGUUCCUUAAAUAGGGACUCGCAUGAAUGGCACCACGAGGGUUUAACUGUCUCUUACUUUUAACCAGUGAAAUUGACCUGUCCGUGAAGAGACGGACAUGAAUUAAUAAGACGAGAAGACCCUGUGGAGCUUCAAUUUAUCAGUACAACUAAAAACCGUACAAACCUACAGGCCCCUAACCUUCCCCCAGACCUGUACUAAAAAUUUUGGUUGGGGUGACCUCGGAGCACAACCAAACCUCCGAACAAUCCACGCUAAGACCACACAAGCCAAAGCAGACUAAUACUUGCAAUUGACCCAGUGACAUGAUCAACGGAACAAGUUACCCCAGGGAUAACAGCGCAAUUCUAUUCUAGAGUCCAUAUCGACAAUAGAGUUUACGACCUCGAUGUUGGAUCAGGACAUCCUAAUGGUGCAGCAGCUAUCAAGGGUUCGUUUGUUCAACG
rnacentral:rRNA from 1 species